rnacentral:rRNA from 1 species
CCUACGGGUGGCAGCAGUGAGGAAUAUUGGUCAAUGGGCGCGAGCCUGAACCAGCCAAGUAGCGUGAAGGAUGACUGCCCUACGGGUUGUAAACUUCUUUUAUAAAGGAAUAAAGUGAGGCACGUGUGCCUUUUUGUAUGUACUUUAUGAAUAAGGAUCGGCUAACUCCGUGCCAGCAGCCGCGGUAAUACGGAGGAUCCGAGCGUUAUCCGGAUUUUUUGGGUUUAAAGGGAGCGUAGAUGGGUUGUUAAGUCAGUUGUGAAAUGUUGCGGCUCAACCGUAAAAUUGCAAGUGAUACUGGCAGUCUUGAGUACAGUUGAGGUAGGCGGAAUUCGUGGUGUAGCGGUGAAAUGCUUAGAUAUCACGAAGAACUCCGAUUGCGAAGGCAGCUUACUAAACUGCCACUGACAUUGAUGCUCGAAAGUGUGGGUAUCAAACAGGAUUAGAUACCCCUGUAGUC